CUGAGGCUGCUGAAUGGCAGCAGGGUGUGAAGAGGUCCACGCAUGCAGCGAGGAGGAGCAGGACGAGGCGGCAGAUGCUGAGGAGGCCAUGCUGUGGCCCAUCCAGGAGGCCCUGGAGAGACAGACCCUGCAGAUCGGGGCCUCAGCCUGCGGGGCCACGGCCGUGGUGGAUGUGCUGAGGGCCCUGGGCGUGGAUGUGACCCCCGAGAGAGCCGACCAAUGUGUGCGAACGCGACUGAGGAGGAACGAUUCACCGCUGCCCGACUACCUGCUGUCCCGGAGCCAAGCAGGGGCGACUCACACCCAACUCAUCCAAGGAGCAGAAGAUGCCAGUCAAGGUCAGGUGACGGGCCGCUUCUUCCACUUCCACCCUCGCCGCCGGGCGAAGCUCGUCCCCUGGCUUUCUAAGUGGAUCCGAAAAGGUGCUGUUCCCGUGGCAACCAUGAACAUGCAAGUUGCCGUACCAGAGGGCGAGGAGGUGCCCGAUGCCUGGCACCAUCAGCUCAUAUUUGGUGUAACGUCCAAUGCUGUUUUUAUGACCAACCCGUUAGAUUUAGUAAGUGAAGAGGAGGUGCAUCAGAGACUCUGCAGUGAAUCUGUGCUGCUGAUUCAGCGACAAGACGUCUUGCAGAGAUUGACAUCUGACUGCUGUCUGUCCAGUCUGUCUGAGAGCCACACUGACCCACGGUGGAAAGCCUUAGAUGUUGAGGGUGAGGCCAUCACUCGUGCUUUUGUUCCUGCUUUGGUCGUGUGGGGUGCAUCAUGUUGUUUACAUGUUCUUCCUCUCUUCAGGUCAGGUGAGACAAAUGGCCCUCGAAGAGGAGCAGGAGCAAGAUCGAGCCACGUUAACGCACAUCACAAUCCCUGCAGCAUACAGCUCAGGCAUCACACUCUUCACCCUGCGACACACAGACUUAGGUCAAGAGCUCCUCAAUGCUCCUCAACUCCCUCUGGCGUGACUGGACAAGCACACAAGGACUCGACUUAUUUAUUUUAAUUCAAAUAAAAAAAUGUAAUGAGACCUAAAGACUAAGUGU
rnacentral:lncRNA from 1 species